GCCCCCAUCGUCUAGCGGCCUAGGACGACACGUUCUCAACGUGUAGAUCGCCGGUUCAAAUCCGACUGGGGGCACCA
rnacentral:tRNA from 1 species